GGUAUGGGUUAUGAGUUGGGUAAAUACUCGUGAGAUCAUCGGCUUUGGUGUUCAAGUACACAGACAGAGACCGAGAGAGCGAAGAAUGGAGAGGAGCAAUCAAAGAGAAAGUUGAUUGUUGCUGUGCUUAUUGUGUAAUUUUUCUCAGGUCAUGAAAUGACGAGGAUCAUAUGAGGAGCAAUCAAAGAGAAACUUAUUUUCCCCUAUGUGGAUUUGAUUAUGAUUUAUGGAUUGAGAACCGUGAUGCUAUACAUGAUGAAGCCACUGUUUGAUUUAAAGUGUAUUGAUUGCACUUUCUUGAAAAGAAAGGAAAAUGGCGUGUUUAAGUGUUUAGUUUAGAGCAGGCCUUCAAUUUGAACCAGUUUCUCACAAGACCACCUCGAAAUGCUUUGAGGAGACUUACAUCUUACAACCUGGAAUAUGGGCUUUCGAACAUCAAGCCUGAGGGGGAGGAUGAGUGCAGUAUCGAAACAAAUUGUCUGAGGCUUUUUUGGGUGAUACUUGAUUUGUAUGAGAUGGUUAUGGUUCAGUGGCUUGGUUGUCUACCUUGAUUGCCUUUCUCACAGCCAGAAAGAGAGGAAUACCUUGGGUGGAAGGGUUGCCAACAUAAGUGCAGGAAGAAUUGCUGGAUAACAGUCUCCAGGAAGAUCUGACAUGGAGGCCAUCUACUUUGAUGAAGGUGUAAGGAACUCAAGACGACACCAAUUGAAAACUAGAGCAUUGGUGGAACUGGCAAGAAAAUACUUCAAGGGAUGAAUUGUCUUUAGAUUUGAAAGUAUGGUUAUGUUGACAACUGUUUAAAUCUUAAAAUGCGGGAAAGAAGAUAUACUGGUGACAUUGUGGGGGGAUAUUUCAUGCACUCUCAAUAUUGAGGCUAUCAGGACAACACCGCCACUGCACUCGCAGUUUUCACAAGCCUCAAAUUGAAACAAUAUCAAACACCAGCCUCUAUGCACAGCUAUAUAUUGAAGGCUUCUGUCACGGAAAGAUGUCAAAAAAAGGAGCAAUUAGGCUUUCAAAUAUAUUUCUGCUAACCUGAUUAGUCAUUAGAGAUGCCAGUUUCAAGAAUAAGUCUGAAACAAAUUCGGUGAUUGAGCUCUAUUUUCAAGUUAAGUGGGAAUUGGUGAUUGAGUCCACCAGAUUCAUUGAUAGAGAUUUUAGAGGAAAUUGUAGAGGAACCACUUCAGUUAGCAAAGAUGAUUUAUUGAGGCUGAAAGUAUUACUUAUAUAUAUAUUGACUAGCUAAAAAAUUUGGAUUUCGUAAUAUAUAUUCUGAUGUAUGUCUUACCAUUUUGUAAAUAUUCUUCCUUCAAAAAAGAAUAACUGUAUGCAUAUACCCUUAGCUCUGUGCCAUACAUUAGUUUUGUACAUGCAUUUUGUUAUCAUUAUUACCACUUUACCAGUCUCUUGAUCUUGACAAAUGAAUGCAUUCAGUUUAUUGCCAUGCUUAAACUGGAUGAAUGAACUCAUCAACAAACCUUGCAUACAAAAUUGUUAACAAAAAUCCUGCAGCAAUGCACGGGUAUCAUUUCUAGUUUCAUAUACGAUUUGCCAUCUUGAAUUGUGGGUUUGAUGUAGCAUUUCGAAUUUUGAUCGCAAGUCGCUGGGAUAGGAAGAAGAAGAAGAAGAGACGUCCAAGAUUUUGGUCGACUUUUGGAGCAAAGUUUGGGUUUGUUUCGGAAAAGGUUGCUGCUAGAAUUUUGAUCGAGUGUGGGAGGAAGCUUUCAAUAGCCGUGUUCUUCGGGAAGCAUCUGUUUACACCGACCUCCACUGUUACACCCAAGUACCCAAAUUGUUGAUCUCAAUCGUGACACUGCCAAUUCUUCGGUGUCGUCUACAGCCGUGUGAGAUGGUUGGAUUCUAUUCAGUCUUGAGCAUCAGAGCACGAAUCAUCUAUUCCAUAAAAGCUUAAUUGUUCUGUGUUAUUAGAACCAGUGAGGCUAGAGAUGUCAUGCUUAGGAAGACAAAGGGUGGUGGAUCAGCAUUUUGAUCCAUUUGAUAAUCCUUCAGAUUGCGAGUGGGUGUGCUCAAGCUCAAUGGUCUGCUGUAGGAAAUCAAAUUGUCAAGAAAAAUUGUUUUUGUAGCCUGAAGUAUAUUGUGGUGGUAUUAGGAAGACUGAGGUGAAGAUUGCGGAUUCUGCAGAUAUUGUACCAAAUUCACUGUUCACUGCAGGUUCUCUAGCUUGACGUCAAAUGCAUCUGUAUGCUGAGAGUUGGAAUGUUUUUGCAAGGUCUGAUGGCUGAAUUUGUUGGUUGUUAGAAAUCAGAACAAGCUUCAGAUCUGAAUGUUGGUGACCCAUCUACUGUGGAGGUGGCUACGAGUUGACCGUAGUACGAGUGGUAAGGGUGGAGUGGAGAAACUUGGCCAAUGCUGCCUUGAAGAUAUCCGAGAUUACAAGCAUGGUGGAAAAGACCACUGAAGUUAGGAGAAUGAAGGAGGAAUUGCAAAGAUACACUUUAAUUCAGUUUAGAAAAACCAAGCCCCCCCGCAGCAUCGCGCGGGAAGGAUUUUCUAGGAUAACUGAUAGUGAAAAACAAAUGCAAAGUAUUUGACUUCCUUGAAGAGAAAUUAGAUUACAGUGUAGUACAGUAACUAGUAAUUAAUUACUGCGUUCAGAAUAAAAAAGAAAUCUACAGAGA